UACGUAGGGGGCGAGCGUUGUCCGGAAUCAUUGGGCGUAAAGCGCGCGUAGGCGGCCAGAUUAGUCCGGUGUGAAAGUCAGAGGCUCAACCUUUGAAUGCCGCUGGAAACUGUCUGGCUUGAGUCCGGAAGGGGCGAGUGGAAUUCCUGGUGUAGCGGUGAAAUGCGCAGAUAUCAGGAGGAACACCAAUGGCGAAGGCAGCUCGCUGGAACGGUACUGACGCUGAGGCGCGAAAGCGUGGGGAGCAAACAGG
rnacentral:rRNA from 1 species